GACCGACUGGUGUAGUGGUUAUCACGUCUCGUUCACAGUCUCCGAGAAGGUGCCAGGUUCGAUCCCUGGGUCGGUCA
rnacentral:tRNA from 1 species